UCCCCUGCUGUCGCAAUCGCCCGCAGAACCCCAUCCAACCCAUCGCUCGCUCGCCAAGAUCCAAGGCAGCCGCGACGGCUGGGAGACUGGGAGGACGCGCGCGGGAGGAGAUCCAAGGAGGCCGAGGAAGGCCCCGGCGGCGCCACUGGCCUAGAAGCCCGUGGCCGGUGACGAUAACAGAGAGGGCGUCGCCAGCUCGGACACCCCGCUCGCCUUACCCGAGGGCGACCAGUACGACGAGGUGGCGGCGGGGAGGACGAGGCCAUGGCCAGCGCACAGGACAAGUGGGCGCAACAGGAGCAGGCCAGCCCGCCAUGGCAGUGGAUCGGGGGCGACGGCGGCUACUCCUUGGUUAAACUGCAUCUUUUUGUGGCGCUUGGGUACAUUCCCGAAUCAACUACAAAAUCCCUCACUACGCCCAUGCCCAGAGAUUAGCCAAUAUUUCGGAGAUGUGGUGGCUCAACUAAUUGGAGACAGAACAAGAUGAAGAAGGAAAGUACGGCCACAUCAGGGCGACCUGGGAGCAAGAGAUGAUCACCAUAAUCUAGGUGCUAAAGGCCUAGUGAAUUAUAACAUGGUUUUUUUAUAGAAAGGCAACUAAAACUUUUUACUUUCUUGGUCUAAUGUAGUUUUCCUAUGCUUAUAGUCUCUUUCCUGUAUAGAGAGACCAAGUUGAGUAGGCCAUCAGUGUUGUCUUUAUGGUGAAAUUAGUUAAAUGAUCAUAAGCUCCAAUUUUUUUGUACAAUUCUUAUGUGGAUCCAGGCUGUGAAACCUUCCGAUAUCGCCCCAAGAAGCUUACACAUCUGCUGA